UAGGGAAUCUUCGGCAAUGGGGGGAACCCUGACCGAGCAACGCCGCGUGAGUGAAGAAGGUUUUCGGAUCGUAAAGCUCUGUUGUUAAGGAAGAACGAGUGUGAGAAUGGAAAGUUCAUACUGUGACGGUACUUAACCAGAAAGGGACGGCUAACUACGUGCCAGCAGCCGCGGUAAUACGUAGGUCCCGAGCGUUGUCCGGAUUUAUUGGGCGUAAGGCGAGCGCAGGCGGUUAGAAAAGUCUGAAGUGAAAGGCAGUGGCUCAACCAUUGUAGGCUUUGGAAACUGUUUAACUUGAGUGCAGAAGGGGAGAGUGGAAUUCCAUGUGUAGCGGUGAAAUGCGUAGAUAUAUGGAGGAACACCGGUGGCGAAAGCGGCUCUCUGGUCUGUAACUGACGCUGAGGCUCGAAAGCGUGGGGAGCGAACAGG
rnacentral:rRNA from 1 species